rnacentral:rRNA from 1 species
CUACGGGAGGCACCAGUGGGGAAUCUUAGACAAUGGGCGCAAGCCUGAUCUAGCCAUGCCGCGUGAGCGAUGAAGGCCUUAGGGUUGUAAAGCUCUUUCAGCUGGGAAGAUAAUGACUGUACCAGCAGAAGAAGCCCCGGCUAACUCCGUGCCAGCAGCCGCGGUAAUACGGAGGGGGCUAGCGUUGUUCGGAAUUACUGGGCGUAAAGCGCACGUAGGCGGACUGGAAAGUCAGGGGUGAAAUCCCGGGGCUCAACCCCGGAACUGCCUUUGAAACUCCCAGUCUUGAGGUCGAGAGAGGUGAGUGGAAUUCCGAGUGUAGAGGGGAAAUUCGUAGAUAUUCGGAGGAACACCAGUGGCGAAGGCGGCUCACUGGCUCGAUACUGACGCUGAGGUGCGAAAGCGUGGGGAGCAAACAGGAUUAGAUACCCGCGUAGUC